UACGUAGGGGGCAAGCGUUGUCCGGAAUCAUUGGGCGUAAAGCGCGUGUAGGCGGCCCGACAAGUCCGCUGUGAAAACUCGAGGCUCAACUUCGAGCUGUCGGUGGAAACUUUCUGGCUAGAGUCCGGAAGAGGAGAAUGGAAUUCCUGGUGUAGCGGUGAAAUGCGCAGAUAUCAGGAAGAACACCCGUGGCGAAGGCGGUUCUCUGGGACGGUACUGACGCUGAGACGCGAAAGCGUGGGGAGCGAACAGG
rnacentral:rRNA from 1 species